AACGAACGUUGGCGGCAUGCCUAACACAUGCAAGUCGAACGAGACCUUCGGGUCUAGUGGCGCACGGUUGCGUAACGCGUGGGAACCUGCCCUUAGGUUCGGAAUAACUCCCCGAAAGGGGUGCUAAUACCGGAUAAUGUCUUCGGACCAAAGAUUUAUCGCCUUUGGAUGGGCCCGCGUUGGAUUAGCUAGUUGGUAGGGUAAAAGCCUACCAAGGCGACGAUCCAUAGCUGGUCUGAGAGGAUGAUCAGCCACACUGGGACUGAGACACGGCCCAGACUCCUACGGGAGGCAGCAGUGGGGAAUAUUGGACAAUGGGCGAAAGCCUGAUCCAGCAAUGCCGCGUGAGUGAUGAAGGCCUUAGGGUUGUAAAGCUCUUUUACCCGGGAUGAUAAUGACAGUACCGGGAGAAUAAGCUCCGGCUAACUCCGUG
rnacentral:rRNA from 1 species